rnacentral:sRNA from 1 species
UGAUAAUCUGCCAUGAAGUCAAUGUAUU